GAUGAACGCUAGCGAUAGGCUUAACACAUGCAAGUCGAGGGGCAGCAUGGUCUUAGCUUGCUAAGACUGAUGGCGACCGGCGCACGGGUGCGUAACGCGUAUGCAACUUGCCUCACAGAGGGGGAUAACCCGUCGAAAGACGGACUAAUACCGCGUACACUCUAUUUUGGGCAUCCAAGGUAGAGGAAAUGAAAUUCGCUGUGAGAUAGGCAUGCGUCCCAUUAGCUAGUUGGUGAGGUAACGGCUCACCAAGGCGACGAUGGGUAGGGGAACUGAGAGGGGGAACCCCGAAACUGGUACUGAGCCCAGGACCAGACUGCUACGGGAGGCAGCAGUGCGGGAUGUUGGUCAAUGGGCGAGGGCCUGAACCAGCCAAGUCGCGUGAAGGAUGACUGUGUUAUGGAUUGUAAACUUCUUGUGUAGGGGAAUAAAGAGGGGCACGUGUGCCCCAGUGAAUGUACCCGACGAAUAAGCAUCGGCUAACUCCGUG
rnacentral:rRNA from 1 species